AUUGAACGCUGGCGGCAUGCCUUACACAUGCAAGUCGAACGGCAGCACGGGUGCUUGCACCUGGUGGCGAGUGGCGAACGGGUGAGUAAUACAUCGGAACAUGUCCUGUAGUGGGGGAUAGCCCGGCGAAAGCCGGAUUUAUACCGCAAACGAUCUACGGAUGACAGCGGGGGACCUUCGGGCUUCGCGCUAUAGGGUUGGCCGAUGGCGGAUUAGCUAGUUGGUGGGGUAAAGGCCUACCAAGGCGACGAUCAGUAGAUGGUCUGAGAGGACGACCAGCCACACUGGGACUGAGACACGGCCCAGACUCCUACGGGAGGCAGCAGUGGGGAAUUUUGGACAAUGGGCGAAAGCCUGAUCCAGCAAUGCCGCGUGUGUGAAGAAGGCCUUCGGGUUGUAAAGCCCUUUUGUCCGGAAAGAAAUCCUUGGCUCUAAUACAGUCGGGGGAUGACGGUACCGGAAGAAUAAGCACCGGCUAACUACGUG
rnacentral:rRNA from 1 species